rnacentral:lncRNA from 1 species
AGUAAUUUUUGUAAUCAUGUAGCCGGAAUGGGAUUACUGGAUGAGAAUCAUCAUAAAACCAACUCCCAUAAAGUAUUAUGUAUUUAUCUGAUCGAUAUGGAAUGUAGUGCUAUAAGUGAUGAGGUCCAUGAUAUUUAUAUCACUAUGACACAUUACUUUGGUGUGAAAUUUUGUUGAGAAAGGACUUAUAAUACAAUGUUUUAGCUUUAAGAUUA